UUUUGGAAUUUUUCUUCAAUUUAAAGGUUUAUGUGUAAAUUCAAUGCAAGAAAUGAGUUGUAUUAUAAAUAUAUUUUUUUAGACUGAUAUAUUGUAAAUGUUGAAAUAUAUUAGGGGACACACAUAGAACCACACUUUUUAACACACCAUUUAAAUUAUCGAAUUAAGUAAGUUUCAACCUUUAGAAUUGUAUUUGUUUAAUGGGCAAUCCUUUU
rnacentral:lncRNA from 1 species